ACUUAAUACGUCCAUACUAAAACCAGACAUAAUUAAACUUAACGUGUUUGGUAUUCAACUGGACAACAAUAAUAUUCAAGGUUUGCUAUUCCUCUUAAGGAUAUCGUCUAAAAGAUAAAGUCCUUAAUAAAGCUAAAACCUACAACGUUACAAA